AUUGACAGGGUUCAACCUGAGUAAGCUCUUUCAUUACAAAAUAAAUGGUGAAAAUUAUCUUUGAAAAUAAACAAUAAAUAGAGUAUCUAACCCCCAUUUACAAAUAGGUUGCAGAUCCUUAUUUGCAAAAUGAAGGUGGAGGACUGAACAAUUUCUAAGUUCUAACAUUCAUUGAUUCAGUAUAUAUAGAGGCAAGAACAUUCUUUUUUCAAAGUUACCUUGUAAUCUGCUAUCAGAUUAAUUUUCCUAAAAAUACGUUUGUCACAAUUUCACUCUGUCUGAAACAUAGUUUGGCUUCCCAUUUUCCACAGGAUGAAGUACAAUUUCCUGACACUGACAUUCAAGGUCUUCCAGAUUCAGAGAAAGACCAAAUGUGUAAGAAUGACAAAAAAAGGUACACAGGACAAUAGGCAGAAUACUUAUUCAUUUUUCUGCAAUGAAACCUGA
rnacentral:lncRNA from 1 species